rnacentral:rRNA from 1 species
CCUACGGGAGGCUGCAGUGGGGAAUAUUGCACAAUGGGGGCAACACUGAUGCAGCAACGCAGCGUGAAGGAAGACGGUCUUCGGAUUGUAAACUUCUAUCAAUAGGGAAGAAAGAAAUGACGGUACCUAAGUAUGAAGCGUCUGCUAACUACGUGCCAGCAGCCGCGGUAAUACGUAGGGGGCAAGCGUUAGCCGGAAUUACUGGGUGUAAAGGGAGAGUAGGCGGCAAGGUAAGCGAUACGUGAAAGCCCUAAGCUUAACUUAAGGAUGGCAUAACGAACUAGCUAGCUAGAGUACAGGGAAGGAAAGCGGAAUUCCUAGUGUAGCGGUGAAAUGCUUAGAUAUUAGGAAGAACACCAGUGGCGAAGGCGGCUUUCUGGACUGAAACUGACGCUGAGGCUCGAAAGCGUGGGGAGCGAACAGGAUUAGAUACCCUAGUAGUC